CGCAUCUGUGCAUGCAGCAUAUCAAUAAGCGGAGGAAAAGAAACUAACAAGGAUUCCCCUAGUAACGGCGAGUGAAGCGGGAAGAGCUCAAAUUUGAAAUCUUAAAGGGUUUCCCUUUACGAAUUGUAGUUUAAAGAAGUGUUUUCUGUUGAGGUUUUGGUAAAAGUUCUUUGGAAUAGGACAUCAUAGAGGGUGAGAAUCCCGUAUUUGACCUUUACUUUCAACUUUGUGAUACACUUUCAAAGAGUCGGAUUGUUUGGGAAUGCAGUCCAAAAUGGGUGGUAAAUUUCAUCUAAAGCUAAAUAUUGGCGAGAGACCGAUAGCGAACAAGUACCGUGAGGGAAAGAUGAAAAGAACUUUGAAAAGAGAGUUAAACAGUACGUGAAAUUGUCAAAAGGGAAGCGUUUGACACCAGUGUUGUUUUUCUGAAAAUCAAUUAAAGAACUGUUUAUGCUAAGUUGUUUAGACUUUAUCAGCUAACUGUUUAGUUUUGAGCUUUUCUUUAAUGCACUUUUCAGUUAACAAGUCAACAUCAAUUUCUUUUGCUGUAAAAAAGCUUGAGGAAGGUGGCUUGAGAUUCGUCUUAAGUGUUUAUAGCCUCUUGCCUAUGCAGUCGGAGAGAUUGGGGUCUGCAGCGUAGAUCCUUCGGGGCUAAAUGCAUUUGUGCUAAGUUAUAGCAUUUUAUAGACAACUUGUUGACUAUGAUUUGUCUUGUAGCUUACUCGCUUAUGUUAUUUUACCUACGCUUAGGAUGUUGAGUCAUCACACAUCUC
rnacentral:rRNA from 1 species